UUUUUUUUUUAAAGAGAGAUUCCCAUUUCAGACUAGUUUUAUGCUUAUUGGCAGAUUGCAAAGAUCAUUCAGGAGGCCCUAUAAACCCCACUUCCCUUACAUUUUGUCUAAUGAUUUCCAGUUGCAUAUGAACCUGGAUCCUCUGCAAGAUCAGCAAAUGCUCUUGACUGCUGAACCAUUUUCUCUAGCCCUGAUAAGCGUUAUUUUUUUUUUUUAAUCUAUCCAAUUUUAUAAUGGGCAGAGAUUUGAGCAAAUACUUUAGCAUAGGAAGUAAACAGAUGGCAGAUAGCUAGGCAUGGUAGUCUAUGCCUGUUACCCUAGCACUUGAGAAGCUGAGGGAGGAAGAUUAGCAUAAAUUGGCUGGGCGUGGUGGCGCACAGCUUUAAUCCCAGCACUCGGGAGGCAGAGGCAGGCGGAUUUCUGAGUUCGAGCCAGCCUGGUCUACAAAGUGAGUUCCAAGACAGCCAAGGCUACACAGAGAAACCCUGUCUUGAAAAAAACAAAAAACAAACAAACAAAAAAAACCCAACCCAAACAAACCAAAAAAAAAAACCCACCCCAAAUUACUGUCCCCAAAAGAUAUAUAGACUACAAAUAAGACAAAGUAGAAUAUCCAAGAUUAGAUGUAAUUAAUUCAAAUACCGACUAAAACCAAUGAGAUACCACUCACCCUCAUUAAGAUAAAUUAAAACAUACUAACAAAGAAGAUAUGGAAGAACUCUGUUCCUUGGGAAUGAAAGAAUCAUGCAAACAUUUUUUAAAAGGUCUAAUUGUUUAGCAGAGUCUUAAGCAUGGCCACCAUAUGCUCAAUCUACCCAAUGCCAGGUAGUUGUUCCAAAGAAAAGACAGUACUAAUCCAAAGACAGGGAGAGGGAUCAACCCUGGAACAUCCCCACAGUGGAAAAUUACUUAGUAACACAGACGAAUGAGCUAGCGGGCCCCAUGCAACAAUAUAUAACUAUGCUGAGUGGGAGGAUUCUGACAAAGGACUACAUAUUGUUGUAGGAUUCCAUUUCUGCUCUAGAAAAUGAUGGAAACACCAAUGUCUGCUUGGUGGACACUGGAAUGGACUACACUGGAGAGACAGAGGGCCAUUCUGGGGGAUUGUGCUGAUGGUCUCAGGGGCCUUUGUAUGCUUCAAAAAAUGGCAAAUUUUCUGCUAUAGGCAAUCUGUGUGUCAACAAGUUACGGCUUACUAAUGAUACUUUAAUAAUCUUCUGUUUGUGUGUUUGCUUUGUUUGCAGAGACAAGAUGUCAUGUACCCAGACCUCAAGAUGUCUGUAUAGCAGAGCAUGGCCCUAAACUUCUGAUUCCCCCCACCUCUGUCUUCCUUAGUGCUGGGAUUACAGGUAUGUACUGCCAUACUCUGUUUAUGUGUGGUUGGGAAUCAACAUAGUACCAUGUGUGUGCUAGGCAAGCAAUCUACUGAGUUAUAUACCCAGCUGUGAAGUAUGUGUGUGUGCACUCAUGCACAUUUGUGCAUGUGAGCACACCUUAGCUGUCUCUUUUAUCAUAAUCCUUAAGUUUUUUGAGGCAUGGUCUCUUUUAGAGCUCUGAUAAUGUGAUCGACAAUCUUGUGCUACUUAUAUGACAUGGUCUCUCACUGAACCUGGACCUCACUUUUGUACUAGGCUAGUGAUUAGCAAGCUCCAAGUAUCUUCCUGUCUCUGUCUCUGCCUCUCCAGCAUCCGUGUGGACCAUGCCUGGCUCUUUUUAAUGUGGGUGUAGAGAUACAUCCUUAUCCUUCCCCAGCAAGCCCAUAUCCAUCCACUGAGCCGUUUCCAUAGCCCUCCAAGCUCAUCCCCAGCAAGCCCAUAUCCAUCCACUGAGCCGUUUCCAUAGCCCUCUAAAGCCCUUUUUUUUUUUUUUACUUUUAAUGAUUGAAUUUGUUUUUGUCUAUGUAUAUGUAUGAAUGCACAUAUGAGUAUGGAUGGCCAUAGAGGCCAGAAGAGGAUUUCAUGGAGCUGAAAUUACAGUUGGAAUUCUGUGAGUCACCCAGUGUGGCUGUGGGAAUCAAAUGCCUGCCCUCUGGAAGAUUACCACUUAGCUAUCUCUCCGGGUCCACCCCUCAAAGCUUUUAAAAUGAUAAUAUGAAAAUUCUUCACUGAACCAUUGCCAAGAAAUUUUAUUGCAAAAUUCCUUUUUAUCAAAGUAAGAUAAGACGGUGCCAAAAGCUGCAAACCAAAGGGAGCCAGCUGCUCCAGGGAGGGGGGCUUUCUGUCUAUGAGCCUUCUGCAGAGGGAUGGGCUCGGCUGGAUGGAGAGUGUGCGGCACUUGGCAGAGCACACAGGUACCAUCCAUCUCUUAGCUGUGCGGCCCUGUUCUCCCAGGGCUUCCUAGGAGCCUGAUGUCCUAUUGUACAGUGUGCUCUGAGUUCUGCAGUAUCACCACUAGGGAUAGCGUGUGCUUAGCAGUCGAAAGCCCUCGGCCUCUAUAUGCUUGGGCUUGAUAUGUGGAACUUAGCAACCCUGAAAUCUGCAUCUGCAGGGCAGGUCCACAUAAAAUUAACCUCUCUCUGCAUGUGUGUAUCUCUGUGUAUCUGUGCGUGUUGUGUUGUGUUUUGUUUUGUUUUGUUUUGUUUUGUUUUGUUUUGUUUUGUGAUGAGAGUCUUGCUAUCAAUCCUGGCUUGUCUAGAACUCACUAUGUAGCCCAGACUGGCCUUGAAUCUGUCAGUCUUCUACCCCUCAGCUUCCCAAAUGUUAGAAUUCAUUCUCUAGGUACUUUUAGUCCACCAAGUCAGAUAUACAAUAUAUAAGCAAAUGUUUUUUUUUCUUUUUCGUGUGUGUGUGUGUGUGUGUGUGUGUGUGUGUGUGUAUACUUGUGGAGGUCAGAGGACAGCCUUAAGGGCCAUUCUUCCUCAAGUGCUGUCUAGCUUGUUUUUUACAACAGUCUCUGCUUGGCCUGGGGUAUGCCAAGAAGACUGGGCUGAAAGGCUGGGGAAUCAGCCAGCUUCCUGCCUCACCUUCCUAGUGCUGGAAUUACAAGCACAUGAUCCUACGCCUUGCUUUGUUUUAUAUGUCGGUCUUGGGGAACUGAACUCAAGUCCUUGUGCCUGGACAACCUAUUGGAGAGUAGAAGUCCACCACUCUUCUUGGCACCUUCUUCAGGGUAACUUCUAAGCUGAGGAGGCUUUAUGUAGAACCUUGGGUGUGGGUGUGUGUGCAAAUAAUGGGAAUUUUCUUAGCCUGGGCUACAUGGAGAUCUGGGGGCUAGCCUGGUCUACAAAGACAGGCCCCGUCUCAAACAAAUGAUAAGUUGCUUAACUCAAAGCGUUGUUGUAAAGAUUAAAUGUGUAGGUUCUUAGAGUAAGAGCCCAGUGAGUCUCUACUGAGUGAUAUUAUCGUGUGGAGUUGGGACAGUGCUUAUCCACUGUCCCCAGGAAAGCGGCCACUUGCCUCUCUGAUCAUUUCUCUUCAAGGGAAGAGCUGGAGAGGACUGGCUCGAAGGUCCAUCAGGGAAUCUCCUUGUUGCAGGCUCUAUCAGUGAUAAGAGCACAUGUAAAGGCAUCAAGUUUAGCCCCUCACAGGACAUAUUCUUCUAAAAAGCACUCCCUGUGGCAAUGGUGGCAUACGUCACUAACCCCGUGGCUGAAGUUCAAGGUCACACUGGGCUAUGCAGUGAGACUACACCCCAAAUCACAACAAAGUACUUUGACCAGACACUCAAAACCUAAAGCUAACCUUUGUGGUUUCUGGGGAUGUUAUCUGCUUGUUAAGUCCCAGACAUGGACACCCCAAGAAACACUGUGGGACCUGCAGGUUGCGGAGAAACAUGGGCUCAUUCAUGAAAUGAUCCCCAAAGCUAACUUCCUCUGGUUCACCAGGAGCCAUGUAAGGCACUGGCUGCCCACAGUGCUGACCCCGAGGCAGGACUGUGUUCUUUUAUGCUUCUGUUUUGAGAUAGCUUCUCUCUGUGUUCUCUAGGCUGGUCUCACUCCAGCACGUGAUUCUCCCAGGACAGCUGUAUUCUGCUGCUCUGCAAGAGAUCCAGCCUGCUGGGUCUGAGUCCCCCAUCACAUGCUCAGGAGUGUUCAGCAGGUAAAGGCCCUCACCACCAAACCUGAUGUGGGCGGAGAGAACCAGUUCCUGUGAGGUAACCUCUGGCCUCCACUCGAAAGCUCCAGGUGGGCACAUUCCCCUCCCCCAGCAAGAUAAAUAAAUGUAUGAGUGGUAAAACACUGAUUGACUGAAAGUGAAUAAGGGAGACAGGAGGGCGUCUGGGAAAGAGAGUGGGUCUGUUCUGCCUAAGCCAGGCGCUAAUCCACAGCAGGGUAUUGUUUAUCUGUCUUCAGGAAUCUGGAAAUGUAACUAGGAACAUCAGAAAAACCUCUCAGUAGAGCAGAGUCGACUGAGAGGUUGACAGCAAACUGGGGAUCUGUGAUGGUGUUCAGGAGGCACAAGGGAAAGAGAAGCGCACAGAGGCAAGGACAGACCUCAAAGGAUGCAGAUGCCUCUGGAACCCUGUAGCUUGAGGUGAACCUGAGAUGAGGUUUUUCAUCUGGAAGUGUCCUGACAGGGACAGACUGUUUGAGGACACCUUAGCAGUUUUGCCCAGUUAUGGUGGCACACACACAGGAUCUCAGGAGAUAGAGGAAGGGAGAUCAGGAUUUCAACACUGUUCCCAGCUCCAUAGGGAGUUCCCAGGCAGUCUAUGUAUCUCAAGUCCAGGGCUGAGACUCAAACCCUGGUCUCUUUGAGCACUAGGAAGUCUACCACCUACCUUUUUUUUUCCUUAUUUUUUUAAAAGACUUAUUUAUUUAUUAUAUGUAAGUACACUGUAGCUGUUUUCAGACACACCAGAAGAGAGUGUCAGAUCUCGUUAUGGAUGGUUGUGAGCCACCAUGUGGUUGCUGGGAUUUGAACUCAGGACCUUAUGAAGAACAGUCAGUGCUCUUAACUUCUGAGCUAUCUCUCCAGCCCUACACCUCCAGCUCUAAGUGGGUCAGACCUCCUGAGGCAUCUCCAGUGGCUGGGGGAGGCCUGGUCUGGAGGCAAAGACCAUCAAGCAGCUAUCCUGAGGGUGGCCUCGGAGAUGGAAAAGAAUAGACCGCUGAUAUUUUUCCUUGCCUGUGCGAACCCCGCGAUGCCACAUCAUAUACCCCUACAUCCAUUGCUUCUGGGCCCCAUUGAGACCAGUUCCGCCCGUUUGUACAAGUGAUUAUUAACUCCACGCCAGCCUCAGGAGUCUUUUCAAUAUUUUGUGGUCUUGCUUCUGUUUUUCUUCUGCCAAGGACUGCUCACUCCAUGGAAAUCUUGGUUAACCGUAAGAUCUUGCCAGAGAAAGCGAAUGCCUUCGGGCGAACACACCCAGGAAAGCUGGUCUCUCUCCUACGUGGCUAGGAGCCUCCAGGAAGAGGGCUCCCUUGUUGUGAUUGAAUAGUAUCGAAGCUGUUUUGUGUCUAGUUGUUAACAUGUGUCUGCUUGCUUUCACCUAACAUUCCAGCGCUGAGAAAGGCCCAAGUCCCAUCAGUCUUGGCAGAAUCUGUUCAAGAUGCUUUCCUCAUUUAGUAGUGAGAAAGGGUUGGGUGGAGGCCAAGGUCACUGGGAGACUCUCCCCUGGUGCUUGAGAGAGCUUCCUGCCAAGAUUUCCUAUCCCCUUUGGUGGCAGAUUUGCUGUGGGAACAACCUCACCAUCUGUACGGAGCCUGCAGAUAGAAAACACACAGGACAUGUGGGCCUCCCUGCCCCAGGCCUGCACGAGCUGUAAUCGACACCCCUGUUGCCUGCUCUUGGGAAACAGGAAGUCUGAAGGAGUGCUUGUGGUUCCACUGGGCAUUUCAGCAGCUCCGGGACAGAACCACUUAAACAGUCAAAUGCAGCUCCCAGGUGCAGAGCAAAGUGGCAAUCGGCAAUAGCUGCUUGCAGGAACCAUUUAGUACAUAGCGAUUUCAAAAAAAAAAAA